AACGAACGCUGGCGGCGCGCCUAAUACAUGCAAGUCGAGCGAGAAGACGUAGCAAUACGUUUGUAAAGCGGCGAACGGGUGAGGAAUACAUGGGUAACCUACCCUCGAGUGGGGAAUAACUAGCCGAAAGGUUAGCUAAUACCGCGUACGCUCCUUGGACUUCGGUUCAGGGAGGAAAGCGAUACCGUGGGUAUCGCGCUCUUGGAUGGGCUCAUGUCCUAUCAGCUUGUUGGUGAGGAACGGCUCACCAAGGCUUCGACGGGUAGCUGGUCUGAGAGGACGAUCAGCCACACUGGCACUGCGACACGGGCCAGACUCCUACGGGAGGCAGCAGUAAGGAAUAUUGCGCAAUGGGCGAAAGCCUGACGCAGCGACGCCGCGUGGGGGAUGAAGGUCUUCGGAUUGUAAACCCCUUUCGGGAGGGAAGAUGGAACGAGCAAUCGUUCGGACGGUACCUCCAGAAGCAGCCACGGCUAACUUCGUGCCAGCCGCCGCUGU
rnacentral:rRNA from 1 species